AUGGCGGAGCCCGACACCAUGGACCACCGCGUAAGAAUGGAUGACAUACAUGCACACGUUUUUAGGUCCGUGCUUGACUUUAUCUACACCGACGAGCUGCCCGAGCACUUGGGAAACACCACGACGAUGGCCUGGGGCAUGCUGGCCGUGGCGGACCGGUUCGGCCUAGAGAGGAUGAAGGCCAUGUGCGAGAACAUACUAUGCGAGCACGUCACAGCGAAGAAUGUGGUGGGCACAUUGAAGCUGGCGGACCGCCACCUUUGCCAGGGGCUCAAGGACUUCUGCAUGGAGCACAUCUCGCAGCCGCAUGUGCUCAAGGAAGUGGUGGAAACUAAGGGGUUCAAGGAUCUCAAAACCACAUGUCCGUCGCUUCUAGAGGAGAUCAUCAUCAAAAUCUCCAAACUGUCAUCGUCGGAUGGGUAG
rnacentral:rRNA from 1 species